CUACGGGCGGCAGCAGUAGGGAAUAUUGCGCAAUGGGGGAAACCCUGACGCAGCAAUGCCGCGUGAGUGAGGAAGGAUUUCGGUUCGUAAAGCUCUGUCAAUAAGGAAAAACGGCUUAUAGGUUAAUACCCUAUAGGUUUGAUGGUACUUAUAAAGGAAGCACCGGCUAACUUCGUGCCAGCAGCCGCGGUAAUACGAAGGGUGCGAGCGUUGUUCGGAUUUAUUGGGCGUAAAGCGCGCGCAGGCGGAUUGGUAAGUCAGAUGUGAAAUCUCGGGGCUCAACCCCGAAACUGCGUCUGAACUACUAAUCUAGAGGCUUGGAGAGGGAAGGGGAAUUUCGCAUGUAGGGGUAAAAUCCGUAGAGAUGCGAAGGAACACCAGAGGCGAAGGCGCCUUCCUGGACAAGUACUGACGCUGAGGCGCGAAAGCGUGGGGAGCAAACAGGAUUAGAUACCCCUGUAGUC
rnacentral:rRNA from 1 species